rnacentral:rRNA from 1 species
GGGUUGUGAGGUUAAGCGACUAAGCGUACACGGUGGAUGCCCUGGCAGUCAGAGGCGAUGAAGGACGUGCUAAUCUGCGAAAAGCGCCGGCGAGGUGAUAUGAACCUUUGACCCGGCGAUGUCCGAAUGGGGAAACCCAGUGCAAUUCGUUGCACUAUCGUUAACUGAAUACAUAGGUUAACGAGGCGAACCGGGGGAACUGAAACAUCUAAGUACCCCGAGGAAAAGAAAUCAACCGAGAUUCCCCCAGUAGCGGCGAGCGAACGGGGAGCAGCCCAGAGUCUGAAUCAGCUUGUGUGUUAGUGGAAGCGUCUGGAAAGUCGCACGGUACAGGGUGACAGUCCCGUACACGAAAGCACACAGGUUGUGAACUCGAAGAGUAGGGCGGGACACGUGGUAUCCUGUCUGAAUAUGGGGGGACCAUCCUCCAAGGCUAAAUACUCCUGACUGACCGAUAGUGAACCAGUACCGUGAGGGAAAGGCGAAAAGAACCCCGGCGAGGGGAGUGAAAAAGAACCUGAAACCGUGUACGUACAAGCAGUGGGAGCACCUUCGUGGUGUGACUGCGUACCUUUUGUAUAAUGGGUCAGCGACUUAUAUUCUGUAGCAAGGUUAACCGUAUAGGGGAGCCGAAGGGAAACCGAGUCUUAACUGGGCGUUAAGUUGCAGGGUAUAGACCCGAAACCCGGUGAUCUAGCCAUGGGCAGGUUGAAGGUUGGGUAACACUAACUGGAGGACCGAACCGACUAAUGUUGAAAAAUUAGCGGAUGACUUGUGGCUGGGGGUGAAAGGCCAAUCAAACCGGGAGAUAGCUGGUUCUCCCCGAAAGCUAUUUAGGUAGCGCCUCGUGAACUCAUCUUCGGGGGUAGAGCACUGUUUCGGCUAGGGGGCCAUCCCGGCUUACCAACCCGAUGCAAACUACGAAUACCGAAGAAUGUUAUCACGGGAGACACACGGCGGGUGCUAACGUCCGUCGUGAAGAGGGAAACAACCCAGACCGCCAGCUAAGGUCCCAAAGUCAUGGUUAAGUGGGAAACGAUGUGGGAAGGCACAGACAGCCAGGAUGUUGGCUUAGAAGCAGCCAUCAUUUAAAGAAAGCGUAAUAGCUCACUGGUCGAGUCGGCCUGCGCGGAAGAUGUAACGGGGCUAAACCAUGCACCGAAGCUGCGGCAGCGACGCUUAUGCGUUGUUGGGUAGGGGAGCGUUCUGUAAGCCGUUGAAGGUGUGCUGUGAGGCAUGCUGGAGGUAUCAGAAGUGCGAAUGCUGACAUAAGUAACGAUAAAGCGGGUGAAAAGCCCGCUCGCCGGAAGACCAAGGGUUCCUGUCCAACGUUAAUCGGGGCAGGGUGAGUCGACCCCUAAGGCGAGGCCGAAAGGCGUAGUCGAUGGGAAACAGGUUAAUAUUCCUGUACUUGGUGUUACUGCGAAGGGGGGACGGAGAAGGCUAUGUUAGCCGGGCGACGGUUGUCCCGGUUUAAGCAUGUAGGCGGAACGAUUAGGUAAAUCCGGUCGUUUAUUAACGCUGAGGUGUGAUGACGAGGCACUACGGUGCUGAAGUAACAAAUGCCCUGCUUCCAGGAAAAGCCUCUAAGCAUCAGGUAACAUCAAAUCGUACCCCAAACCGACACAGGUGGUCAGGUAGAGAAUACCAAGGCGCUUGAGAGAACUCGGGUGAAGGAACUAGGCAAAAUGGUGCCGUAACUUCGGGAGAAGGCACGCUGAUAUGUAGGUGAAGCCCCUGCGGGUGGAGCUGAAAUCAGUCGAAGAUACCAGCUGGCUGCAACUGUUUAUUAAAAACACAGCACUGUGCAAACACGAAAGUGGACGUAUACGGUGUGACGCCUGCCCGGUGCCGGAAGGUUAAUUGAUGGGGUUAGCGGCAACGCGAAGCUCUUGAUCGAAGCCCCGGUAAACGGCGGCCGUAACUAUAACGGUCCUAAGGUAGCGAAAUUCCUUGUCGGGUAAGUUCCGACCUGCACGAAUGGCGUAAUGAUGGCCAGGCUGUCUCCACCCGAGACUCAGUGAAAUUGAACUCGCUGUGAAGAUGCAGUGUACCCGCGGCAAGACGGAAAGACCCCGUGAACCUUUACUAUAGCUUGACACUGAACACUGGUCCUUGAUGUGUAGGAUAGGUGGGAGGCUUUGAAGCGUGGACGCCAGUCUGCGUGGAGCCAACCUUGAAAUACCACCCUUUAAUGGCUGGUGUUCUAACGUAGACCCGUGAUCCGGGUUGCGGACAGUGUCUGGUGGGUAGUUUGACUGGGGCGGUCUCCUCCCAAAGAGUAACGGAGGAGCACGAAGGUUAGCUAAUCCUGGUCGGACAUCAGGAGGUUAGUGCAAUGGCAUAAGCUAGCUUGACUGCGAGAGUGACGGCUCGAGCAGGUGCGAAAGCAGGUCAUAGUGAUCCGGUGGUUCUGAAUGGAAGGGCCAUCGCUCAACGGAUAAAAGGUACUCCGGGGAUAACAGGCUGAUACCGCCCAAGAGUUCAUAUCGACGGCGGUGUUUGGCACCUCGAUGUCGGCUCAUCACAUCCUGGGGCUGAAGUAGGUCCCAAGGGUAUGGCUGUUCGCCAUUUAAAGUGGUACGCGAGCUGGGUUUAGAACGUCGUGAGACAGUUCGGUCCCUAUCUGCCGUGGGCGCUGGAGAAUUGAGGGGGGCUGCUCCUAGUACGAGAGGACCGGAGUGGACGCAUCACUGGUGUUCGGGUUGUCAUGCCAAUGGCAUUGCCCGGUAGCUAAAUGCGGAAAAGAUAAGUGCUGAAAGCAUCUAAGCACGAAACUUGCCCCGAGAUGAGUUCUCCCUGACCCUUUAAGGGUCCUGAAGGAACGUUGAAGACUACGACGUUGAUAGGUCGGGUGUGUAAGCGCAGCGAUGCGUUGAGCUAACCGAUACUAAUGAACCGUGAGGCUUAACCUUACAACGCCGAAGCUGUU